rnacentral:rRNA from 1 species
AUUGAACGCUGGCGACAUGCCUUACACAUGCAAGUCGAACGGCAGCACGGGUGCUUGCCCCUGGUGGCGAGUGGCGAACGGGUGAGUAAUACAUCGGAACAUGUCCUGUAGUGGGGGAUAGCCCGGCGAAAGCCGGAUUAAUACCGCAUACGAUCUACGGAUGAAAGCGGGGGACCUUCGGGCCUCGCGCUAUAGGGUUGGCCGAUGGCUGAUUAGCUAGUUGGUGGGGUAAAGGCCUACCAAGGCGACGAUCAGUAGCUGGUCUGAGAGGACGACCAGCCACACUGGGACUGAGACACGGCCCAGACUCCUACGGGAGGCAGCAGUGGGGAAUUUUGGACAAUGGGCGAAAGCCUGAUCCAGCAAUGCCGCGUGUGUGAAGAAGGCCUUCGGGUUGUAAAGCACUUUUGACCGGAAAGAAAUCCUUGGCCCUAAUACGGUCGGGGGAUGACGGUACCGGAAGAAUAAGCACCGGCUAACUACGUG